rnacentral:rRNA from 1 species
AAUUGAGAGUUUGAUCCUGGCUCAGGACGAACGCUGGCGGCGUGCUUAACACAUGCAAGUCGAACGGAAAGGCCCUGCUUUUGUGGGGUGCUCGAGUGGCGAACGGGUGAGUAACACGUGAGUAACCUGCCCUUGACUUUGGGAUAACUUCAGGAAACUGGGGCUAAUACCGGAUAGGAGCUCCUGCUGCAUGGUGGGGGUUGGAAAGUUUCGGCGGUUGGGGAUGGACUCGCGGCUUAUCAGCUUGUUGGUGGGGUAGUGGCUUACCAAGGCUUUGACGGGUAGCCGGCCUGAGAGGGUGACCGGCCACAUUGGGACUGAGAUACGGCCCAGACUCCUACGGGAGGC